rnacentral:rRNA from 1 species
UUAUAUUUAAAUAUAAAUUAAGAAGAGAUUAAAUGUAAUCAUUAAAUUUAAAUAAUUUGGCGGUAUUUUAAAUAGUUAGAGGAAUUUGUUAGUUAAAUGAUAAUCCACGAGUAGAGUGUCCUAUUAAAUGUUUUAUGUAUUGUUGUAUAAAAAUUAUUUUAUAAAAAUUAUAAUUAAUUUAUUUAAUUUAAUUUGAAUUCAAAUCAAAAUGUAGAAUUUUUAGGUUUUAAUGAAUUACAGUUUAAUUUAAUAUUAGAAUUAUAUCUUUAAUUAAUAUAAUGAAAUAGGAUUUAAAAGUAAAUUUAAAAAAAUAUUUAAAUUGAAAUAUAAAUUAAAAUAGG